GUUUUGUACCUUCAGGUAAUUAUUUAUUGCUCAUUAAUGUUCUUUUCUCUCUAAUUGAAGUACUCUCCUUAGCAUUUAUCAUAGGAUGGGUCUGGUGUUAAUGAAAUCCCUCAGAUUUUGCUUGUCUGGGAAAGUCCUUAUUCCAUCUUCAUGUUUAAAGAAUAUUUUCACCAGAUACACUAUUCCAGGGUAAAUUUUUUUUCCUUCAGCACUUUAAAUAUGUCUUGCCGCUCUCUCCUUGCCUAUAAGAUUUCCCUUGAAAAGUCUGCUGCAAGACAUAUUGGACUCCAUUGUUGUUAUUUGUUUCUUUCCUCUUGCUGCUUUUAGUAUCAUGUCUUUAUCUUUGACCUUUGGGAGCGUGAUUAUUAAAUGCCUUGAGGUAGUCUUCUUUGGGUUAACCCUGCUUGGUGUUCUACAGCCUUCUUGUUCUUCGAUAUUGAUAUCUUUUUCUAGGUUUGGGAAGUUCUCUGUUAUUAUUCCUUUGAAUAAACUUUCUACCCCUAUCUUUUUCUCUACCUCCUCUUGAAAUCCAAUAACUUUUAGAUUUGACCUUUUGAAGCUAUAUAAUAGAUCUUGUAGGCAUACUUCUUUUUAUUAUUCUUUUUUCGUCUCCUCUGACUUUGUAUUUUCAAAUAGCUUGUUUUGAGCUCACUAAUUAUUAUUUCUGCUUUGUCAGUUCUGCUAUUAAAGAACUAAUGCAUUCUUCCGUAUGCCAAUUGUAUUUCUCAACUCCAGAAUUUCUGCCUAAUUCUUUUUAAAUUAUUCCAAUCCCUUAGUUAAAUUUCUCUGAUAAAAUUCCAAAUUUCUUCUCAGUGUUAUCUUGAAUUUCUUUGAUUUUCUUCAAUACAGCUAUUUUUAAUUCUCUAUAUAAAAGGUCAUAUAUCUCUGUUUCUCCAGGAUUCAUCCCUGGAACCUGGUUUAGUUUAUUUAGUGAAGUCAUGUUGUCCUGGAUGGUGUUGAUGCUAGAUGUUCUUUGGUGUCUGAACAUUGAUGAGUUAGGUAUUUAUUGUAGUCUUCACUGACUGGGCUUAUUUGUAGUUUUCCUUCUUGGAAAAGCUUUCCAGAUAUUUGGAAGGACUUGGGUGUUGUCAUGUAAACUAUAUCUUCUUUAUGGGGCACCCCACGCCCAUGGUUCUUGAAGACUUAUAGAGACACCACAUUGAUGGUCUUGGGCAAAAUCCAGGAGAGUUCUUAUCAGGAUUACCAGGGAGACUCUUGCUCUCUUUCCUUACUUUCUCCCAAACAUACAGAGACUCUCUCUCUGUUCUGAGCCAGCUGAUGCUGGGGGUGGAGUGACACAAGCACCUCUAUGGCCACCACUACUAUGACUACACUGGGUCAGACCCGAAGCCAUCACAGUGCUGUUUUGCCUAAGGCCUGCUGUAAAAACUCCCUGGCGACUAUCUGUGUUCUCUCAAGGUCCUUGGACUCUACAAUCAGCAAGUGGCAAAGCCAUCCAGGCUUGUAUCCUUUUCUUUAGAGUGGUGAUGUCCCCCAGGCCCUGGGUGGGUCCAUAUGUGCUGUACAGGAGUCAUGAACUAGAGUCAAAAACCUCAGAACUUUACCUGGUGUUCUAUUGUAUUGUGACUGGGCUGGCACUCAAACCAUAAGACAAAGUCCUUCCCACUCUUCCUUUCCCUUUCCAAAGGUAGAGGAGUCGCACCCCAUAACCACCACCACCCCAGGCCAUGAGGAGUACUGCCAGACUACUGCCAAUGUUCCCUUAUGGCCCAAGGUCUCUUAAGUCAGCUUGUUGUGAAUGCUGCCUGUCUGGGAAUCACCCUUUAAGGCAGUUGGCUUCCCUCUGACCUGGGAUAGGUCCAAAAAUGCUGUCCAAAAGCCAAGUCUUAGAAUUGGGGACCCCAGGAGCAUGGUUGUUGCUUUAUCUUCAUGUGGCUGGCCUGGUACUUCAGAAUAGUAGAACAAGGAGUCUGUUGCUUUAAC
rnacentral:lncRNA from 1 species